CCACAAAGAGUCUUAUCAAUUGCAUCCUUCAUUCUACCAGAACUUACAAGGUUAUUCACCCAAUCCACCAAGUUACCCUUGAAUCCUUCUUCAGCAGUACUAACAUCAAGAGGCUUUUGCCCCCUAGAAGCACCACCCCAAAUCCAUACACAUCCCCUUUCAAUGAAGCAACCAUAGUGCUUGAGUACUCUGGUGCUACAUAACCGAAUUCACCUAAAUCCCCAUUAACAUAACUGCUCUCAUUAGAAUCUGAGGAAUUCAUGAGCCUUGCCAGUCCAAAAUCCAUGAUCCUAGCAUCAAAAUCUUCAUCAACAAGAAUCAUGUUGGAGCAUAUGUUCUGGUGCAAGAAUGGAGGCUGGCACCCAUGAUGAAGCCAAGCUAGACCCCUAGCAGCACCCAAACCAAUUCUGAAUCUUGUUGGCCAGUCCAAUAGGGCACCAUUUCCAUGAAGCAAAGCAUACAAAGUCCCAUUAGACAUUUGCUUGUAAACUAAAAGUUUCUCGUCCUCCACAAUACAAAAACCCAAAAGGGGUGUCAAAUUUGGAUGUCUAAGCUGUCCCAAUCGAUUCAUCUCCAAGCGAAUUUGCUUCUCACCAAGCUUACAAGUAUUAAGACGCUUGAUUGCAAGUGCAGAACCAUCAGGAAGAACUGCCUUAUAGGUAGUCCCUGUCCCUGUCGAAAUUAUGAUAUUCCGAGGACUAAAAUUGUUAGUAGCUACCAUUAAAUCAGCCAAUUUAACCUUAACA
rnacentral:misc_RNA from 1 species